ensembl:lncRNA
UUUCUGGAUUACACCACAACCUCAAGAUUGCCAUGGCUGGUUCGACACCUGCAAGACUCAAGAGUCUGUGUCAUCUCGAACCAAACAGUGGCCACAGGAGUUUCCAAUUCCAAAAUGUUCAUACGACACAGAGCGGCAGCUGGCAAAGGGGAAUGCUGAAUGACAUGGGAGAAACCAGAUGUUGACAGUCAACUCCCGAAUGAAAUCUGAUAUCCUGAAUGUCUAUGGGUGUGCCGCUCAAACUUCUUCUUCGCGCCUCUUUUUUUUCAGGCUACAUACUACUUUAGCGCAUCUCUGCCUCUCAGGUUUGAGAAGGAACUGCAACUCUAAACAAGAGUGCAGUUUACAUUUAGUGCCGUGGCCCGCCUCUGACCGGGCAUAUAGCCA